rnacentral:rRNA from 1 species
AGAGUUUGAUCCUGGCUCAGGACGAACGCUGGCGGCGUGCCUAAUACAUGCAAGUCGAGCGGACUUCUCCUUCGGGAGAGGUUAGCGGCGGACGGGUGAGUAACACGUGGGCAACCUGCCUGCAAGAUCGGGAUAACUGUCGGAAACGGCAGCUAAGACCGGAUAAUUCAUUCUCUCGCAUGAGAGGAUGAUGAAACACG